CUCCAAUCGAAAGAACUUGAGUAGAUAUUCUCCUCUCCUGAUGAACUAUACUGAGUAUACUCUAUCCUCUCCCGCGCUUGAGUUCGAUCAUCUGUCUGCAAUUAGUUCCUAUCUCCAGAGAGCCGCAUAACAACGUCGUAUCGACGGGCAAUCUUCAAUCUGAGGGUAAGUUCUGUGUCGUCCUCUCUUUCUAAUUUCUAGGUUUUUGUUUGCACUGUUAUUACCUCCCAUCUCUCUCACUGCAAUCCUAUCAGAGCUUAUGAACCGAUAGGUAUAUACGUUAUCAAGUUCUUGUUAUUUUGGAGAUGCGAAGGAGAUGAUACAGUUCCAAUUAGGGCUCGUCUUUGUAGAAAUUGAACUUCCCUGGUUUAAUUGACGCAUUAAUUAUAGUCAGUCAAAAUGGCAGCUAUUGACGCGUUAAUGUUAUGAGAAAAAUAAAAUAUAAUUUGAAUAUUUGUUGAUAACAGCUCGAUUUCCCCAUAACCUAUUGGAAAACAGUAUGCUUGAUAGCAUUUUGUCGAUCUCUGGACAAAUGUUAUAUCUUUGCUUCAUUUUUUGAUCUAUUGCAAAAGGGCCAGUGUUGGGCUAUGAUGGGUUUCUGCUUGACUAGAAUUUUGUUUGUUGGAUUGAUUGGAUUAAUCUUUUAAUAAUCUUGUAACAUUUGUAUAAAUGCAGGUUUGUAUUGACUGCUGCUUUGAAGUACUGAAAUUCUUUCUGCUUGUGCACCAUAAACUGAUAUGGUAAAUUCACUAUUGAAAGAGAAUGUGUAUGUGAAUUGCUAUAUUGUCCUGUUGGCUCUCCAGGUCACUUGCUUUUCUGAAUUGUGUGGUGUAUUUGUUGACUUCUCCUAGUUUUUUACCUUGAAUGAUGUUAGAUUUUUCUACGUGUGAGUUCAUGUUUGCUGGUAUAGCCGCAACUUUGCUUUGUGCUUUAAAAUGUGCCUGCUGGCUAUGUAUGCAUGUCAUAUUAUAUAUUUCAAAGGUUAAUUUUGGUAGUUCUAGAACUGAGAUUUCCUUUUAAUCUGAGGACCACACGCUGAACAUUGGUCCUUGUCUUUAUUGAUUAAACAGUAAUACAAUAAUAUAGCAUCAGGUUAGUUGCCUAUGCCAGAGCUUUAAUAUCUGGUUGUUGUGGACCAACUGGUAAUAAAACUAACCUUGGUAGGUUUACUAGUAGGAGCAACUUCAGUUCACUUCCCAAAGUUAUUUCAUUAUGGAAUCCAAAAUACCAAUUCAUCGUCUACUAAUGUUUUAAUUGUUGUGUGGGAGCUUCUAAGCUAGCAGAAAUUCAAAGCUCUUUCUAAACAAGGUUUAAUUUCUCAUGUGAUAAGAAUGUCCUGGUGUUGUGUAUGAAAACCAAAUGCAGGAUCCUAAUGGUUUCAUUGAUGAGAAGGUUGAAAGCAGACUUUACAUUGGCAACCUUGACUUGAGAAUAACAGAGUAAGGAAAAAUUUCAAGCUUGCGUUCUUCAUUGCAAAACUUUAUAGUUGAUGUUAUCUGGUUGUUAUUUAUAUUUCACAUCUUCAGGGCUGCUCUUAUUAAGAUGUUUUCUCCAUAUGGCAACAUUGUAUCUGAGGACUUCUUAUGGCAUACUCGUGGACCAAAACGUGGAGAGCCACGGGGCUUUGCUUUUAUUCAGUUUAGCAACAAAGAGUGAGCAUGCAGGAAGCUAAAUUGGCUAAGGAGAAGAUGCAUGGGAGAUUAGCUUGUGGCCGCCCUUUGGUUGUUCGCCUUGCCAGCGAGAAACACUUGGAGGAAGCUGCACACAAUUCUUCUAGAGCAGUAGGUGAGAUGACAAAAACAGGCAUUGUUGGUGGCACUUCAGGGCAGAUGAGUCGGAGUGGUAAGAUAGCUGCAAUAAAGAACAAAUUGAGAACCUUGGAAGAAGAGAGCUCUAGCAUGAAGAAGCAGAAGCAAGCUGGCACCAUUUCUUGCAACAAUAGGGUUGACCAUACAUCUGUCAAAAGAUGUUGAAUAAAGAUGCUUAAGAGAGCUUAAAUGUUGGAACUAUUUUCAGAAUUAGGUUGAGCAUCACUGUGCCAAAUUUCAGGUGUGUAGUGUUGUUGACAUGUUGCACAAGAUUAUUUAGCGCGACUUUCCAUGUCCUCAAGUUUGUGGGUUAUGGAAAUGGCUUGUUAACAACAGCAUUGGAUUAUGAAAAUAAGAUUAAGGGUUUUGUAAUUUCAUGAAAUGCUAUUAUUAGCGGCAUAAUGCCAGGAUGUUUUCUUGUUUAUGAUUUUUUUCUUUUUGAUGGAAUUUCUUGUUUAUGAAUUUAAAUCUAUGGGAAGUCGACAAGUAAUUUGUGAAAACAUUAUCAAGGUUUG
rnacentral:misc_RNA from 1 species